rnacentral:rRNA from 1 species
GGGUGCGAUCAUACCAGCACUAAAGCACCGGAUCCCAUCAGAACUCCGAAGUUAAGCGUGCUUGGGCGAGAGUAGUACUAGGAUGGGUGACCUCCUGGAAAGUCCUCGUGUUGCACUCCU